CGCGAAGAACCUUACCAGGUCUUGACAUCCUCUGACAAUCCUAGAGAUAGGACGUCCCCUUCGGGGGCAGAGUGACAGGUGGUGCAUGGUUGUCGUCAGCUCGUGUCGUGAGAUGUUGGGUUAAGUCCCGCAACGAGCGCAACCCUUGAUCUUAGUUGCCAGCAUUCAGUUGGGCACUCUAAGGUGACUGCCGGUGACAAACCGGAGGAAGGUGGGGAUGACGUCAAAUCAUCAUGCCCCUUAUGACCUGGGCUACACACGUGCUACAAUGGACAGAACAAAGGGCAGCGAAACCGCGAGGUUAAGCCAAUCCCACAAAUCUGUUCUCAGUUCGGAUCGCAGUCUGCAACUCGACUGCGUGAAGCUGGAAUCGCUAGUAAUCGCGGAUCAGCAUGCCGCGGUGAAUACGUUCCCGGGCCUUGUACACACCGCCCGUCACAC
rnacentral:rRNA from 2 species